rnacentral:snRNA from 1 species
ACUCCUUCUCAGCCUUUUGGCUAAGAUCAAGUGUAGUAUUUCUCUUAUCAGUUUAAUACCUGAUAUGUUCUCUAUUCGAGGACAAUAUAUUAAAUGGAUUUUUGGAACUGGGAGAUGGAAUANNNNNN